AAUCAAUGAGAAACAUGCAGAAAGAGAAAGAAACCAAAAGAAAAGAAAUAGAUUAAAUGAAUCUCAAGGGUAGAAUAGUAAAAAAAUUGAAAGUUCAAACAAGAAAUCCAUAAGUAAUAAUUAUAGACCGACUAAUAGUAUUAAGUGUUUCAGAUGUGGUAAAGCUCAUGGUAAAAAGAACUGUCUUUGAAACAUUGAUGCAGGCUUUGGUUG
rnacentral:lncRNA from 1 species